rnacentral:lncRNA from 1 species
UCCAACAAAGCAUGGCCGGUUUCAUGAAAGGUUAAGGAACCAAUCUGGUUCCUUGUGGUAAACGAUUCUUAAAACCUUCUUAAUGAUGAGCAGAUGAUAAGAUGAGUUUUGUAUUGUGAUGUGUAUAGAUUGAAAAACCUGAGGAUAAUGUGAUUGCUAAAUAUAACUAGUUGAAUCUGUCCCAGGAUGCUUUAAAGGCUUGUUU